rnacentral:rRNA from 1 species
AUGUGGAGGGGGGCUCACGACCCUCCUCCCCACCCCCUGCUCGGCCUCGCGCUAACGCACGACGCGCAGUGCGGACAUUCUGUUUUACCAACAAUAGGACGCACGCAACCCCAGAGCCACACCCCUAAGAUUGACAGGGAGGCGACGGGGUGUGGCAGACUCGCGUACGCAUGUGGCGCCGCGGCACGCCGCAUCGCCGCCUGCUCCGGCUCUUUCCAGGCUCGGCCUCGCAGGGGGUGGGGAGGGGGGGUCACGACCCCCCUCCCCACCCCCCUACUCGGCUUCGCGCUAACGCACGCAGUGCGCUUGGUUGACAGGCGCAGUGCGGACAUUCUGUUUUUCCAACAAUAG